GACGUAGGGCGCGAGCGUUGUCCGGAUUUAUUGGGCGUAAAGAGCUCGUAGGCGGCUUGUCGCGUCGUCCGUGAAAACCCACAGCUCAACUGUGGGCUUGCGGUCGAUACGGGCAGGCUAGAGUUCGGUAGGGGAGACUGGAAUUCCUGGUGUAGCGGUGAAAUGCGCAGAUAUCAGGAAGAACACCCGUGGCGAAGGCGGUUCUCUGGGACGGUACUGACGCUGAGACGCGAAAGCGUGGGGAGCGAACAGG
rnacentral:rRNA from 1 species